ensembl:lncRNA
CUACAGCGGCCCAAGGAGUGGUGGCCCUUUAAGCAUGGGGAGAAAACUCAGGGUCUGAAUAGUGUUAUUACUAUUGCUAUUAUUUUUCAGUUGAAACACUUCAUUUCCAACAAUAUUUAUGACAACGUCAAGUCCCUGAAUUCUUCCUGGUAGGAUCAGUAUUUAAUUACACAAAAAUAUGCUGCUAACUUAGGUAGGACUCCCCAUAAGAGUAAGAUGGCCAGUAUUUCAUGGCAAAUGAUUCAAUGAGCUGACACAGCUCUACCCUGAACUUUGCCAUCAGGACAGACCUUGCGUGCAGGUGCCUUGAGGACUGUGGCUAAUCGGAAGCGGUAGGAACCUUACCUCUUGGAGGCUUUGCCACCGCCAGGAGCCGUGUUCUCUGCAAAUGUGGAGAAGAAUUGAUGCAGAAUUCAGGAAAACAACCACAUAACAUUCUAUUGUACUCAGAACUGCCCUGGGAGUGCUUGGGAAUUUGGAGAAUGCAGGAUUCCUUGAGAAAUAAAGCAAGAGACAGGAAGAGUAGAGAAAAGGAUCAAUUAACUGAUUUACUGUCAUGUUCAGAUAAAACUGUCUGAGAAAAACCUCAAACCGGGCAGAGGGUUUGGUUUUGGUUUUGGUUUGUUUGCCUUUUUCAUUAUAAAGUCUCUGAGGAAGGAAAAUCUUGUUCUCCAUGGAGCAGUCAGUUCUAUUUCCGACAAAUCUCACUUUUUUACAUAUUUGUGUGGCUUUCUGGUCUCCCUUUUCUCAGCCUGGAAGACGACUGGGGCAGUUGAAGAGAAGAGUCAGAUUUCUGAAACACAGAAAGAUUCCUCACUGAAGCCAGGCUUGUCCUGGAUCAGAGAAUGGCUGAGUUCUAAAUCAGGCUCUUCCAAUGGAGAAGUCUCCUUGCAUAAUCCUGGCCAGCAUUUUCUUCUACUAAGAGAAGAAUUAGACAACUACUUUUGAUUGCACCUUAUUUCCAAGAAAGACUGGUGGCUUCUCUCUUCAGAUGGGGAGUGACAACUGCACAGUGGCUUCCUCUGGUGUGAGGCUGUGGUGGUGUUGCCUCCUUGAUGAAUGAAAACUGUCUCAUAAGAAACUGUGCAAAUGGGGAAGAGAAUGGGGGAGGACAGAUUCAAAAUUGGAGGCAAACAUGAAAGUCUUUGUCCUUUUCCUAAUUAUCCUUUCAGUGUAAUCAGUACUGCCCUUGGUGCUACUUACCAUGUAUGGUAGGUAAGACACACUGAUUUUGAAUUUUAUUGUCAUGACCUUGAGUAUGAAGCUAGAAAUUGGUCUAAAUACCCUUGGUAUUGAUGCUUCUAAGUUCACACUCAUUUGUUAUUCCUAAGCAUUGUUGCUUACACUGAAUAUCUUCUGUGUUGGGCCCUGUGCCAGGCUCCAUUUUGGGUAUGAGUUUGUCUUUUUUUUUUGGCUGCCCCUUGGCAUCAGGAGUUCCCAGGUCAAGGAUCAGAUCCGAACCAUNGUCUUUUUUUUUUGGCUGCCCCUUGGCAUCAGGAGUUCCCAGGUCAAGGAUCAGAUCCGAACCAUAGCUGCAACCCAAGCCACAGCUGCAGCAAUGCCAGAUCCUUAACCCACUAAGCCGGUCAGGCCUGGGGUUAAACUUACAUCCCAGCACUUCUAAGACACUACUGAUCCUGUUAUACCACACCAGGAACUCUGAGUUUGCCUUUUGAGCAAAGACAAACAAGCCAAAGGAACUGAUGGAGGUGAGCACACUAAAGAGCUCAGACUCCAUUCAGGAACUUGGGAUGUGCCGAUGAGUGUGAUAUGAACCAAGUAGUAACUGACCUCACACUUUUAAAGUGUGAGCACCCAUCUUUCUCCUUGGAAAUUCUUCUAUUACCUACAAUGUAAAACUUUGACCAAAAAAUCUUACAACACGAUAUUGAAAAAAUCAAGGAAUUAAAAGCAGAGUAGGAAUUUGCAUGCUUCUCAACAAAAGUAC